rnacentral:rRNA from 1 species
UACGUAGGUGGCAAGCGUUGUCCGGAAUUAUUGGGCGUAAAGCGCGCGCAGGUGGUUCCUUAAGGCUGAUGUGAAAGCCCACGGCUCAACCGUGGAGGGUCAUUGGAAACUGGGGAACUUGAGUGCAGAAGAGGAAAGUGGAAUUCCAAGUGUAGCGGUGAAAUGCGUAGAGAUUUGGAGGAACACCAGUGGCGAAGGCGACUUUCUGGUCUGUAACUGACACUGAGGCGCGAAAGCGUGGGGAGCAAACAGG